rnacentral:rRNA from 1 species
UACGUAGGGUGCUAGCGUUGUCCGGAUUUAUUGGGCGUAAAGGGCUCGUAGGCGGUCUGUCGCGUCGGCUGUGAAAACCCGGGGCUCAACCCCGGGCCUGCAGUCGAUACGGGCAGACUAGAGUGCGGUAGGGGAGACUGGAAUUCCUGGUGUAGCGGUGAAAUGCGCAGAUAUCAGGAGGAACACCGGUGGCGAAGGCGGGUCUCUGGGCCGUAACUGACGCUGAGGAGCGAAAGCGUGGGGAGCGAACAGG